ACAUCCAGCGAACUUGGCAGAGAUGCCUUGGUGCCUUCGGGAACGCUGAGACAGGUGCUGCAUGGCUGUCGUCAGCUCGUGUUGUGAAAUGUUGGGUUAAGUCCCGCAACGAGCGCAACCCUUAUCCUUUGUUGCCAGCGAUUCGGUCGGGAACUCAAAGGAGACUGCCGGUGAUAAACCGGAGGAAGGUGGGGAUGACGUCAAGUCAUCAUGGCCCUUACGAGUAGGGCUACACACGUGCUACAAUGGCGCAUACAAAGAGAAGCGACCUCGCGAGAGCAAGCGGACCUCAUAAAGUGCGUCGUAGUCCGGAUCGGAGUCUGCAACUCGAUUCCGUGAAGUCGGAAUCGCUAGUAAUCGUGGAUCAGAAUGCCACGGUGAAUACGUUCCCGGGCCUUGUACACACCGCCCGUCACACCAUGGGAGUGGGUUGCAAAAGAAGUAGGUAGCUUAACCCUCGGGAGGGCGCUUACCACUUUGUGAUUCAUGACUGGGGUGAAGUCGUAACAAGGUAGGCGUAGUGCU
rnacentral:rRNA from 1 species